rnacentral:rRNA from 1 species
AGUGAACGCUGGCGGUAGGCCUAACACAUGCAAGUCGAACGGCAGCACAGGAGAGCUUGCUCUCUGGGUGGCGAGUGGCGGACGGGUGAGGAAUACAUCGGAAUCUACUCUGUCGUGGGGGAUAACGUAGGGAAACCUACGCUAAUACCGCAUACGACCUACGGGUGAAAGCAGGGGACCUUCGGGCCUUGCGCGAUUGAAUGAGCCGAUGUCGGAUUAGCUAGUUGGCGGGGUAAAGGCCCACCAAGGCGACGAUCCGUAGCUGGUCUGCGAGGAUGAGCAGCCACACUGGAACGGGGACACGGUCCAGACUCCUACGGGAGGCAGCAGUGGGGAAUAUUGGACAAUGGGCGCAAGCCUGAUCCAGCCAUACCGCGUGGGUGAAGAAGGCCUUCGGGUUGUAAAGCCCUUUUGUUGGGAAAGAAAUCCAGCUGGCUAAUACCCGGUUGGGAUGACGGUACCCAAAGAAUAAGCACCGGCUAACUUCGUGCCAGCCGCCGCCGUAA